rnacentral:misc_RNA from 1 species
UUUCCGUAGGUGAACCUGCGGAAGGAUCAUUAUUGAAUGAAACACUUUUGGCUUUAUGCUGUUGUGCUGGCCUUUUGGGCAAUCUGCACACGGCUCUGGUCACUUGUUUCUUCCGUCCCACCUGUGCACUGCCUGUAGACACGGUGUGUCUAUGAUAUUUAUUUACACAUAACAAUGUUAGUUGGCAUGUUAUAUAUCAUAAUAAAAUAUACAACUUUCAACAACGGAUCUCUUGGCUCUC